AGUGGGAUAGCUGGGUCAGAUGGUGGUUCCAUUCCCAGUUUUCCAAGGAAUCUCCACACUGUUUUCCAUAUUGGCUAUACCAAUUUGCAAUCCCACCAGCAAU
rnacentral:pre_miRNA from 1 species